rnacentral:rRNA from 1 species
UACGGAGGGUGCAAGCGUUGUCCGGAAUCACUGGGCGUAAAGGGCGCGUAGGCGGCUCAUGAAGGCUGUGGUGAAAGUCCGGGGCUCAACCUCGGAUCGGCCGUGGCGACUCGUGGGCUGGAGCACUGUAGAGGCGGGUGGAAUUCCGGGUGUAGCGGUGGAAUGCGUAGAGAUCCGGAAGAACACCGGUGGCGAAGGCGGCCUGCUGGGCAGUAGCUGACACUGAGGCGCGACAGCGUGGGGAGCAAACAGG